AGCAGAGUGGCGCAGUGGAAGCGUGCUGGGCCCAUAACCCAGAGGUCCGGGGAUCGAAACCUUGCUCUGCUA
rfam:Nematostella vectensis strain CH2 x CH6 NEMVEscaffold_326_Cont23925, whole genome shotgun sequence.